rnacentral:rRNA from 1 species
UACAGAGGGGGCAAGCGUUGUUCGGAAUUACUGGGCGUAAAGGGCGCGUAGGCGGCCGCCUAAGUCAGACGUGAAAUCCCUCGGCUCAACCGGGGAACUGCGUCUGAUACUGGGUGGCUUGAAUCCGGGAGAGGGAUGCGGAAUUCCAGGUGUAGCGGUGAAAUGCGUAGAUAUCAGGAGGAACACCGGUGGCGAAGGCGGUUCUCUGGGCAUUACCUGACGCUGAGGAGCGAAAGUGUGGGGAGCGAACAGA